UGGAGGUUGAAAACCCCUGGCGAGAAAUUUAUUACCGAGUGCGGGUCCUUUGGGCCCAACCUCCCAUCCCGUGUCUAUUGUACCCUCGUGUGCUUUCGGCGGGGCCCGCCCGCUUGUCGGCCGCCGGGGGGGGGCCUCUGCCCCCCGGCCCCGUGCCCGCCGGAGAACCCCAACCACGAACACUGUCUGAAAAGCGUGCAGUCUGAGUUGAUUGAAUGCAUCAAGUAAAAACUUUCAACAAUGGAUCUCUUGGUUCCGGCAUCGAUGAAGAACGCAGCGAAAUGCGAUAACUAAUGUGAAUUGCAGAAUUCAGUGAAUCAUCGAGUCUUUGAACGCACAUUGCGCCCCCUGGUAUUCCGGGGGGCAUGCCUGUCCGAGCGUCAUUGCUGCCCUCAAGCCCGGCUUGUGUGUUGGGUCGCCGUCCCCCUCUCCGGGGGGACGGGCCCGAAAGGCAGCGGCGGCACCGCGUCCGAUCCUCGAGCGUAUGGGGCUUUGUCACAUGCUCUGUAGGAUUGGCCGGCGCCUGCCGACGUUUUCCAACCAUUCUUUCCAGGUUGACCUCGGAUCAGGUAGGGAUACCCGCUGAACUUAAGCAUAUCAAUAAGCGGAGGAAAAGAAA
rnacentral:rRNA from 1 species